GAUACGGGACUCAUCCGAGGCCCCGUAAUCGGAAUGAGAACAUCCUAAAUCCUUUAACGAGGAUCUAUUGGAGGGCAAGUCUGGUGCCAGCAGCCGCGGUAAUUCCAGCUCCAAUAGCGUAUAUUAAAGUUGUUGCGGUUAAAAAGCUCGUAGUUGGUUCUGCGUGCCACGCUGUCGGUUCACCGCCUGUCGGUGCAACUGGCAUGCCGUGGCAUGUCCUGUCGGUGGCGUGCAGGCUUCGCGGCGCUCCCUGCAUGAUACGUUGUGUAGGUCGUCGAGUAGUCCUCGUACGCCGUCUCAAUCCUGCCGCGGUGCUCUUUACCGAGUGUCGAGGUAGGCCGGCACAUUUUACUUUGAACAAAUUAGAGUGCUUAAAGCAGGCUCUUAAAUCAGCCUGAAUAGUGGUGCAUGGAAUAAUGGAACAGGACCUUGGUUCUAUUUUGUUGGUUUUAGGAAUCCAAGGUAAUGAUCAAUAAGGACAGGCGGGGGCAUUCGUAUUGCGACGUUAGAGGUGAAAUUCUUGGAUCGUCGCAAGACGCACUAGAGCGAAAGCAUUUGCCAAGUAUGUCUUAAUUGAUCAAGAACGAAAGUUAGAGGUUCGAA
rnacentral:rRNA from 1 species